GCUCUUGCCUGCUUGCUCUCACUUCACUGGCAAGUCUGUUACUUCACUAGAAUUAGAGCUUGCUUCUUCAGGAUUCCAGGGUAUUUUGAUGAGCAGCUGAGAUGACUGGUGUCACGGACUGUACAACUACUGGAUGUUUGGACUUCAUGUUCAUAGGCAGUCAUUUUUGGAUUAGCUGGACCACAGUCUAAGCCAUCAAAUGACCUGCAUCCACCAGAAAUAAAUUUUUGUCAACUCAACCCAAGUUGGGGUCUUCUGGGAAGAGGCAACCUCAAUUGAGAAAAUCCUCCCAUACAAUUGGCCUGUAGGAGAAUGGUUGGCCUCCGCUCGUGAGAGCUGAGAACUCUACGCACUGUUCUCACAGCAGCAGUCCAAUUCUCCUCCUAAUACAGCCUGACCGAGUUCCAGGGGACCGCAAGCACUUGCCAGCAACUUCUAAAGUAUAGCCAGAUGUUAUUUCAGCUUGCUGUGAAGAGUUUUCACACCACAGUCCCAAGCUUUAAUUUCCUUCAUUUAAAAAACGGUCACUCAGCCAUCAAUCAGUUGCUAAGGCCCGAAAGAGCACAUCUCUCAUCGCAGAUAACCCUAGGUUCUGGCAUGUGCUUCAUUCAUGGAAUCAACCCACAGGAACGGGAAACAGAGCUCACUCGAUGCGAUCUGAGCGAUAGUGUCCACAUGUGUAAGCCAGUCAACAUCUGAGAAGACACUGGAGAUUAAAGCAGGGUCCCUAUUUCAGCACAGCCUGCAAGAAUAAGUGUCUGCCUAUUAUCUCUCAAGAUUCCUUCUAUCUUUUAGUCUGAUGGCCCGAUAGGCAACCAUCAUAGGGUCAGAGAAAACAGAAGUACACAGAAUAUAGUGGCAGAAAGGGAGUGAAGUCAAAAUCAUGAGUCAAUAAGAAAAAAAAAAAAACUUCUAGAUAAGAAUCAAACAUUAAUAUGUGCCCUAGUCAGUAAGAACUAUUAUGAGUUCUGGAUUACUUACUGUUAAACGCCACUAUUUUAUUAGAAUGAGUUAGAGUCUAAUUUCCCACACACAAAUUCCAGUAUAAUAGCAUUCAAGUUUCUAUUACUGCUUCAGAAACAACAUUUACCUCCCCAUAUCCUUGUCACCUUGGUAUUAAAGAAAGUUCUGUAAACAUCACUGACAAAGUUUCAACUCUUCUAAAGUACAGCUUUAAAACUUCACAAUUACACCAGAAAGAUGUACCCAAUGCUGGGAACUCAUGUACAGUGUUUUAUUGAGUAUUAUUAUCAGUGCAUAAAGUCCACGCCUUGUAUUUAUUAAAACAUGUAAUGAAGGAUUUUAAGCAGCUUACAAUUAACUAAACAAACUUCUGAUUCUGCCCAUUGUAGCUGAGGUAAACUAUUAAGAACCUGAGACUCCUUCAAAGUGAAUCAACUUCAAGCAUGCAGAUGUCCAUCUCCUUGCAAGUACCCCAUUCAUCAAGGAGCAACAAGCAGAGAUUUUUGCAUUUAUUUUAGAAUGGAGACUGUGGCUCCAACAGGCCUCCUUCCAAGCAGUCUUUGUGUUCCUUCAACAUGCCAAAAGAGAUAGGUUGAUCCACCUGUGGUGAUUACAAUUCAUCAGGACGCAAAUGUAUCUUCCAGGAGCUGACCUUCUACAUCUCUAGACCUUGCUGCAGGAGACCAGGAUUUUAUUUCUAUCUAGAAGUCUUCUUCCAUCCAAAGGGAAUUCUGAUUUCUCCCUACAAUCCAUAAGUUGCAGUGUAUCAUUAAUCCUACAUCUUAUUGCCAUUACUAUUUGAAUGCUAUUGUAUAAUAUGAAAUUGCUAUCUACUCCUCUAUCAAUCAGGUUAAAAUUCCAUUCAGCAUCAUUUUCUCUGAAUGCAAGCUGUAAAGGAUGUUAGACUUUUGACUGGUAACACCCAAUGUUUGCACAACGAUACCAUGUUAAAUCAGCACUCUCUUCUACGCUGUACCCUGUGGUAUUUGUUUUAAUCUCCUGAGAAGUUUCUUCCAUGUUUUCAAUGUGUUUGUCAUUUUACAUAACUUAGAUGUCCAAAUUUUCUGUUUUAGGCAGGAGUGUUUCAAGUUUUCCCUCCAGGGAGGUCAUGCAGUUUGUAAUUUCUUGUAUUUGGAAAUAAUUGCCCCCAAAACAAGUCUCACAUAGACCCCAGAGCUUGUGACAGAGUCAUUUUUCCCAGGUUUACUGUUCUGAAAUGGUGUGGAGAAAGCAAUCAUUGGAGCACCUAACAUCUACACUACACCUGUAUCUACUGUGGAGCACAGACCAAUUUCCCAUAAUGAGAGAUAGAUAAGAUACAAAAAAUGUACUCAAUCAUUCAGUUGCCUGUCUAUUGUUAGAAAAUGUUGUCAGAGAAAUGGGGCUCUGAAUUCUCUGACAUAACUUGGUGAUGGGUUAUAAGGUAAGUUUCCAUAUGAUAGCAAAUCAUCUCUUGAGUUCUUGAAAAUAGCUAAUGGCAGAAAUUUGGAGAAUUAGAAAGUCUUCAUGCUUAAGAACACAGUUGCCUAUGUCCUAUAGGAAACACUGAUUUGCUUUCUAUCACUGCUGUUUUACCUCUUCCAAAAUUAGAUGUAAAAGAAAGGAUGUUCUUUGUACUCUUCUGUGCAACUCUCCCAUAGCAUAUUGCAUUUGAGAUUCAUUUGUGCUGUUGAGAGCAUCCUUGAUUCUCUCAUGGUGGUGGUGGUGGUGGUCAUUGUUGAUGCUGUUGCUGAUGAUUAUUCAAUCCAUUAUCUUCUCAGUUGCUCUUUCCCUAUGUCAAGGUGAACCUAAUUCCAAAAGAGCUGAUAUAGAGAAUGUAUUUCCAUUGUGGAAACCGCUCCCUACCCACAAGGACUUGGCUUAAUGUCAUGAACUCUUAUGGAUGAGAUCCUGGCUUGAGAUCCUUCCUGAAUACCAACUAUGUUGACCUCUCCAGGUGGUGUUUCUCUGGCUCCAUGUCAGCUGGCUUCUUACCAAUAAAAGGCAAGGCACUAGAGGGCAGAAGGGCAUAACCCUAGUAUUUCUCUCCCUGUCCUUUGUUUUGUUCAGCACUUUUGAUAAAGGAUACAUUUCCUCUUUGGCUUCAGCCUCCACUAAACAAGCACACUUUGAUUCUAGUUCCAACCACAUACAUGGGCCUAGGUCCUGGAUUAUAAUAACAACAGUUUCGGGCUUUUGUCCUGCUAAGUCUAGUCACUAAACCCUAUCUGCUUCUAACCUCUGGGUCUUCUUUGCCCCUUAUUUGACUUUCAUCUCCAUCUCAAAUACUUAGCUACUUCACUGUAUUAUAAUUCUUCUGGUGUAGCUAUUUGAGUUAUAUCUAUUUUCCUGGUAAGACCUUAAUUUUAUUUUACAAAAUCUAAGUCUUUUGACUUUUUUUCUUGGUAUCUAAUCUGUGGCGGAACAUUUCUCUCAUUUUAUUCUUGUACUAGUACCAACAAAUUAUUACUAUUCACAUCUAUGAAUUAAUAAGCCUAGAUGACUUUAAUGA